rnacentral:rRNA from 1 species
GGAAUCUUCCGCAAUGGACGAAAGUCUGACGGAGCAACGCCGCGUGAGUGAUGAAGGUUUUCGGAUCGUAAAGCUCUGUUGUUAGGGAAGAACAAGUGCCGUUCGAAUAGGGCGGUACCUUGACGGUACCUAACCAGAAAGCCACGGCUAACUACGUGCCAGCAGCCGCGGUAAUACGUAGGUGGCAAGCGUUGUCCGGAAUUAUUGGGCGUAAAGGGCUCGCAGGCGGUUUCUUAAGUCUGAUGUGAAAGCCCCCGGCUCAACCGGGGAGGGUCAUUGGAAACUGGGGAACUUGAGUGCAGAAGAGGGGAGUGGAAUUCCACGUGUAGCGGUGAAAUGCGUAGAGAUGUGGAGGAACACCAGUGGCGAAGGCGACUCUCUGGUCUGUAACUGACGCUGAGGAGCGAAAGCGUGGGGAGCGAACA